UACGUAGGGUGCGAGCGUUGCCCGGAUUUAUUGGGCGUAAAGGGCGCGUAGGCGGCCACGCACGUCCGUUGUGAAAUCGCCCGGCUCAACUGGGCGGGUCGGCGGAUACGGCGUGGCUGGAGCAAGCUAGGGGGCAAUGGAAUUCCCGGUGUAGUGGUGGAAUGCGUAGAUAUCGGGAGGAACACCAGUGGCGAAGGCGGUUGCCUGGAGCUUUGCUGACGCUGAGGCGCGAAAGCGUGGGGAGCGAGUCGG
rnacentral:rRNA from 1 species